GACGAACGCUGGCGGCGUGCUUAACACAUGCAAGUCGAACGGAAAGGCCCUGCUUUUGUGGGGUGCUCGAGUGGCGAACGGGUGAGUAACACGUGAGUAACCUGCCCUUGACUUUGGGAUAACUUCAGGAAACUGGGGCUAAUACCGGAUAGGAGCUCCUGCUGCAUGGUGGGGGUUGGAAAGUUUCGGCGGUUGGGGAUGGACUCGCGGCUUAUCAGCUUGUUGGUGGGGUAGUGGCUUACCAAGGCUUUGACGGGUAGCCGGCCUGAGGGGGUGACCGGCCACAUUGGGACUGAGAUACGGCCCAGACUCCUACGGGAGGCAGCAGUGGGGAAUAUUGCACAAUGGGCGGAAGCCUGAUGCAGCAACGCCGCGUGCGGGAUGACGGCCUUCGGGUUGUAAACCGCUUUCGCCUGUGACGAAGCGUGAGUGACGGUAAUGGGUAAAGAAGCACCGGCUAACUACGUGCCAGCAGCCGCGGUGAUACGUAGGGUGCGAGCGUUGUCCGGAUUUAUUGGGCGUAAAGGGCUCGUAGGUGGUUGAUCGCGUCGGAAGUGUAAUCUUGGGGCUUAACCCUGAGCGUGCUUUCGAUACGGGUUGACUUGAGGAAGGUAGGGGAGAAUGGAAUUCCUGGUGGAGCGGUGGAAUGCGCAGAUAUCAGGAGGAACACCAGUGGCGAAGGCGGUUCUCUGGGCCUUUCCUGACGCUGAGGAGCGAAAGCGUGGGGAGCGAACAGGCUUAGAUACCCUGGUAGUCCACGCUGUAAACGGUGGGUACUAGGUGUGGGGUCCAUUCCACGGGUUCCGUGCCGUAGCUAACGCUUUAAGUACCCCGCCUGGGGAGUACGGCCGCAAGGCUAAAACUCAAAGGAAUUGACGGGGCCCCGCACAAGCGGCGGAGCAUGCGGAUUAAUUCGAUGCAACGCGUAGAACCUUACCUGGGUUUGACAUGGAUCGGGAGCGCUCAGAGAUGGGUGUGCCUCUUUUGGGGUCGGUUCACAGGUGGUGCAUGGCUGUCGUCAGCUCGUGUCGUGAGAUGUUGGGUUAAGUCCCGCAACGAGCGCAACCCUUGUUCACUGUUGCCAGCACGUUAUGGUGGGGACUCAGUGGAGACCGCCGGGGUCAACUCGGAGGAAGGUGGGGAUGACGUCAAGUCAUCAUGCCCCUUAUGUCCAGGGCUUCACGCAUGCUACAAUGGCUGGUACAGAGAGUGGCGAGCCUGUGAGGGUGAGCGAAUCUCGGAAAGCCGGUCUCAGUUCGGAUUGGGGUCUGCAACUCGACCUCAUGAAGUCGGAGUCGCUAGUAAUCGCAGAUCAGCAACGCUGCGGUGAAUACGUUCCCGGG
rnacentral:rRNA from 1 species